rnacentral:rRNA from 1 species
UACGUAGGGUGCAAGCGUUGUCCGGAAUUAUUGGGCGUAAAGAGCUUGUAGGCGGUUUGUCGCGUCUGCUGUGAAAUUUCGGGGCUCAACCCCGAACUUGCAGUGGGUACGGGCAGACUAGAGUGUGGUAGGGGAGACUGGAAUCCUGGUGUAGCGGUGAAAUGCGCAGAUAUCAGGAGGAACACCGAUGGCGAAGGCAGGUCUCUGGGACGUUACUGACGCUGAGACGCGAAAGCGUGGGGAGCAAACAGG